rnacentral:rRNA from 1 species
GAUUAACGCUGGCGGCGUGCAUAACACAUGCAAGUCGAACGAUGAAACUUAAAUGAUUUCUUCGGAAUGAACUUAAGUGGAUUAGUGGCGGACGGGUGAGUAACGCGUGAGUAACCUGCCUUACACAAGGGGAUAGCCGUUGGAAACGACGAAUAAUACCCUAUGAAACUAUCACUUCGCAUGAAGCGAUAGUCAAAGUGUUAGCGGUGUAAGAUGGACUUGCGUCUGAUUAGCUAGUUGGUGAGAAAAAAGCCCACCAAGGCAACGAUCAGUAGCCGGCUUGGGAGAGUGUACGGCCACAUUGGAACUGAGACACGGCCCAGACUCCUACGGGAGGCAGCAGUGGGGAAUUUUGCACAAUGGGGGAAGCCCUGAUGCAGCGGCGCCGCGUGAUUUAGAAGGCCUUCGGGUUGUAAAAAUCUUUUGUAUAGGAAGAAAAUGACAGUACUAUACGAAUAAGGUCCGGCUAAUUACGUG